GUCUACGGCCAUACCACCCUGAACGCGCCUGAUCUCGUCUGAUCUCGGAAGCUAAGCAGGGUCGGUCCUGCUUAGUGCUUGGAUGGGAGACUGCCUGGGAAUACCUGGUGCUGUAGGCU
rnacentral:rRNA from 1 species